GUUUUGUAUCCUUGACAGAAAUUUCUUUCAGAUUUUGUAAAAUUGUUUUUAUUAUGUAUACCAAAUGCAUUUCUGUAGCUUCAGCAAAAUGAGUUAAUGUUCUAUAAAACCAAUGCAUCUCUUUAGCUACAGGAGACUAAUGAAUAACAAAAGAUUUUAUUAUCCUUGUUUCCUCAUGCAUUAUUUCACUAGAUUUUGUUAUUCUCAUUAGUUGCUCUGAUAGAUAAAAGUCCAGAAUAUGAACAACAAUUGAAAUGAUGGCAUAUUGGCAUAUGAAAAGGAAGCUGAAAACUAGAUUUAGAUGAUAUUUUGUCUUGUAUACACAAUUCAUGCUUGAUUGCUAAUUAUUUAUCUCCUUAUAGGGCGGUAAGAGUAGUAAACAAAUGAGUACAAUCAUACAAAUAAUGUCGUGUCCAUUUGUUUAUUGUUCUAGAUGAAAAAUAGGCUUCAUUUCAUAACACUGUAAUGUUGUUUACAUCUUGAAGCCAGAACCCAAUAGUUCCAGCAACCCUUGCCUUAUGGGAAAGGUCAUAUGUGUUGUCCCUUCUUACCCGAAUCUGAGAAAAUCGAGAAGGUCCAGGUGAUCUAUGAGGCUACGAGAGGUGUAUUGAAGAACAUUUUAUGGCACACCCUAUAUUAAAAGAGCGCAUUGAUUCAGAAUUCUGUUUCUUCAUAGUCAUUACCGAGUAUUUGCGGAAAUCUGAAAUUGUCGAUUUAUUUCUGAGUUGAUGCUACCGUGGCAUCAACUUACUCAAUUCCACUGACCCUGCAAGCCACAGGUGAAUUGCUCCCAUCUAUGAUUUAUUCAUGAUGAAUCUUGAAUGCAUAUAUGAUGCUUUUAUUGUUCUUGUUUUGACCAUCUGGUAGUAAUUUAUGCCUCCUGAGUUUUUACAUAAUGAGACCACCUGAUAGGGUCAUAUGUCUUUUGGAGUGUUUCUGCUUCUGUGUGAAAUUGGAGCUUUCUGUUUAUAAUCUUUUAUUUGGUUGUUUGAUCUGGUGUAUAAAUCCUAAGAAAGGUAUCAUGUACUUCAGUAUAUGCUUGUGUUUAUGAAAUUUACCAUGAUCACCAUGAGUAUGAGUAGUUUGCCAUAUUGUAAUCCAUGGACAUAUACAUAGCAGCGUGAGACAAUAUUGUGUAAAUAACACAAGCAGUCAUUUCACUAAGUCUAAAAACCUCAAUAGCCAUAAUCCGAUCACCUGGCUUGAGUAAUGUCUUGCUUUUGCCAUUUGCGCCGGUGCGCAACCGGUCAUCUAUGGCAUGUAUGUUCUGUUUUCUCAGCUGUAUAUUUGAUUGUAGUUCUUUUUGUAUUUGUUUGAUAGGCUUAUUAUCGGAGAAAUCGGCGGUAAUGAUGCAUAGUGAUCUUGGUAUGCAAGUAUGAUCAGGAUCUGGUGUAUUCUUACUGAAGGAAAUGACUCUACUUCAAUUGUAAUUAUUGUAUGUGUUGAUGGCACCCAAAAAGUAACAUGAUAUUUAUAUACAUUUAUUUCUCUUUGCUAUGAACAAAUGGCUGGAUGCAACAAAUGAUGCUCCUGGUAUGUACAUGUGUUAUCUGUAGGCAGUUGCUUGGAAGUUUUUAUUUUCUUUUAAAAGAAUUGCUUAUACAAGCUUAAGGGCUCUCAAAAACAUGCUGAAUUGUUGGAAAACUAAACAGACUUAAAACUUAUGUUUUUAUUUUCUUUAAAA